GUGACCAAUAACAUCUGAUUUGAUUUGAUCAGGUAACAGAUGACUACACUGUGAUUGGGUGAAACCUGUUUAAGAAGUAGACCAACCUGCAGUUGUUUUUGGGGUUAAAGGUCACUCUCAAUCAGCGGGGCAGGGAUCAUCGAGGGCGGUUUCAGACAAAGCGUCAAGUUUACGAUCUGGGUGCCAGAGGGUCUCAGUCUAGAAACUAAGCAGCUCCUCUCCUCCACCUCCAAGAAGAAAGGAAAGGGUGGGGCUAAGGGGGAACUAGCCAAAGAGGAAGAUGCCAAGAUGGACACUCAGCCAAUCAACAUCAGCCUCCGAUUCAAGAGAUACGUUUUUGACCCCCACAAGAAGAUGGUUCAGUCUUGAGGUGCGUUCAGUUCACUUGAACGUUUGCUACAUUGUGGAGCGGUUUGUACUGAACAACACGUUUCCCCAAAACGUUCUUGUAUGUUCUUGAACAGACUUUGUGCUACGUUUGGUGGGUAUGGCGAGGUGUGGCUUGAAGCAAGGAGUGACGAAUUGAAAGGGCAGCGGUCAUGCAGACAGCGUUCCCAAACCCACAACCCCUCCCCAUUUUUAAACUGGUUGUUCAGUACAGCACCGUUUCCGUUCAAGUGAACGUUCCAGAAUGUAAAAACCAACAGACCGCAGCCCUGACCUUGGCAGCAGUAGCUAGAGGAUGAGAACAGAGCGGUUAAAACAAGUGGCUACACUGUUCUCCUCUUCGAGUUGAAAGUAACGAU
ensembl:lncRNA